ensembl:lncRNA
CUGUUUCUAGGUGUAAGAAAAUGAAUUACUUCAUGAAUUGUGUGUUAGUAGUCAAGAAAAACUGUAAGUAAUCAUGAAUGUUAAAAAGCUUUCUGUGUACCAGAUAAUUAAAAGUACAUUUUAUUUAUGAUUUUAAAUUUAUGAAACAAGUUAGACUUACCACAGUUACCACAUGGGAGGCCAAUGCAAUGAAUUCAAGGGAUGAGUGGUUGUUAUAACUUUCACUGAAAGUUUCAUUUAGACUGUAUCUUAAGUGUAUGCUUCCCUCGUCAAGGGUAGGAGGAUCAGUAUUUGUGCCCUCUGUUGUUGGUGCUACAGUGGUGAACACAUAUGAGGUAUGAGCCUCUGUUACUGGCUUUACUGACGUUAGUGUUGUUGUUGUUGUCGACAUUGUUGUAUAUACAGUUGUAGAAUUGAAUACAGUAGAUGAACCCUUAGCUAGAGUAGUUUUGGUUGAUUCUGGUUUAUUUCUAACAGUUGCUGCUGCUGUUGUCCUUGAUGCAAUUGCUGGCAAUGCUGAUGUCAAUGGAACAAAGGUUGAAGCUUUUGGUGCAGUAGCAGACUUUACUAAGCUUGUUGUUGAUGUUGUAAUUGUAUCUACUGCCACAGAAUGUAUCACAGUAGAUGAAACCUGAGCUAUUGUAGUCUUGGUUGAUUCUGGUUCAUUGCUAAUGGUUGCUGCUGUGGUCGUGCCCGAUGCAGUUGCUGGCAAUGCUGAUGUCACUGGUAAAAAUGUAGAAGCUUUGGGUGUAGUAGCCGACUCUACUAAGCCUGUUGUUGUUGUCACUGUAUUUUCUGUUGUAGUUAUCCUGAUUGUUUUCUGUUCAUUGCUAACAGUUGCUGAUGUGGUUUUGUCCAGUGCAGUUGCAUGCAAAGCUGAUGUUACUGGUGCAAAUGUAGAAGUUCUUGCUGUAGUAGCAGACACUAUUCGGCCUGUUGUUGUUGUCACUGUAUUUCCAGUUGUAGCUAUCCUGAUUGUUUCCGGUUCAUUGCUAACAGUUGCUGAUGUGGUUGUGCCCAAUGCAGUUGCUGGCAAUGCUGAUGUCACCGGUGCAAAUGUAGAAGCUUUGGGUGUAGUAGCCGACUCUACUAGGCCUGUUGUUGUUGUCUCUGUAUUUUCUGUUGUAGUUAUACUGAUUGUUUCCGGUACAUUACUAACAGUUGCUGAUGUGGUUGUGCCCAAUGCAGUUGCAUGUAAAGCAGAUGUCACUGGUACAAAUGUAGAAGCUUUGGGUGUACUAGCAGACUGUACUACACCUGUUGUUGUCACUGUAUCUUCUGUUGUAGCUAUCCUGAUUGUUUCCUGUUUAUUGCUAAGAGUUGCUGAUGUGGUUGUACUCAAUGCAGUUGCUGGCAAAGCUGAUGUCACUGGUAAAAAUGUAGAAGCUUUGGGUCUAGUAGCAGACUCUACUAGACCUGUUGUUGUUGUCACUGAAUCAUCUGUUGUAGUUAUCCUUAUUGUUUCUGGCUCAUUGCUAACAGUUGCUGAUGUGGUUGUGCCCAAUGCAGUUGCUGGCAAUGCUGAUGUCACUUGUAGAAAUGUAGAAGCUUUGGGUGUAUUUGCCGACUCUACUAGGCCUGUUGUUGUUCUCACUGCAUUUCCUGUUGUAGCUAUCCUGAUUGUUUCCGGUUCAUUGCUAAUAGUUGCUGAUGUGGUUGUGCCCAGUGCAGUUGCUGGCAAUACUGAUGUCACCUGUCCAAAUGUAGAAGCUUUGGGUGUAGUAGGAGACUCUAUUAAGCCUGUUGUUGUUGUCACUGUGUCUUCUGUUGUAGUUAUCCUGAUUGUUUCCUGUUCAUUGCUAAGAGUUGCUGAUGUGGUUGGGCCCAAUGCAGUUGCUGGCAAAGCUGAUGUUACUGGUGCAAAUGUAGAAGUUUUUGCUGUAGUAGCAGACACUAUUCGGCCUGUUGAUGUUGUCACUGUAUUUCCGGAUGUAGCUAUCCUGAUUGUUUCCAGUCCAUUGCUAACAGUUGCUGAUGUGGUUGUGCCCAAUGCAGUUGCAUGUAAAGCAGAUGUCACUGGUACAAAUGUAGAAGCUUUGGGUGUACUAGCAGACUGUACUACACCUGUUGUUGUCAAUGUAUCUUCUGUUGUAGCUAUCCUGAUUGUUUCCUGUUUAUUGCUAAGAGUUGCUGAUGUGGUUGUGCUCAAUGCAGUUGCUGGCAAAGCUGAUGUCACUGGUAAAAAUGUAGAAGCUUUGGGUCUAGUAGCAGACUCUACUAGACCUGUUGUUUUUGUCACUGUAUCUUCUGUUGUAGUUAUCCUUAUUGUUUCUGGCUCAUUGCUAACAGUUGCUGAUGUGGUUGUGCCCAAUGCAGUUCCUGGCAAUGCUGAUGUCACUUGUAGAAAUGUAGAAGCUUUGGGUGUAUAUGCCAACUCUACUAGGCCUGUUGUUGUUCUCACUGCAUUUCCUGUUGUAGCUAUCCUGAUUGUUUCCGGUUCAUUGCUAACAGUUGCUGAUGUGGUUGUGCCCAGUGCAGUUGCUAGCAAUGCUGAUGUCACCUGUCCAAAUGUAGAAGCUUUGGGUGUAGUAGGAGACUCUAUUAAGCCUGUUGUUGUUGUCACUGUGUCUUCUGUUGUAGUUAUCCUGAUUGUUUCCUGUUCAUUGCUAAGAGUUGCUGAUGUGGAUGGGCCCAAUGCAGUUGCUGGCAAAGCUGAUAUCACUGGUAAAAAUGUAGAAGCUUUGGGUGUAGUAGCAGACUCUACUAGGCCUGUUGUCGUUGUCACUGUAUCUUCUGUUGUAGUUAUCCUGAUAGUUUCUGGCUCAUUGCUAACAGUUGCUGAUGUGGUUGUGCCCAAUGCAGUUGCUGGCAAUGCUGAUGUCACCGGUACCAAGGUAGAAGCUUUGGGUGUAGUAGCAGACUCUACUAGGCCUGUUGUUGUUGUCUCUGUAUUUUCUGUUGCAGUUAUCCUGAUUGUUUCCAGUCCAUUGCUAACAGUUGCUGAUGUGGUUGUGCCCAAUGCAGAUGCUGGCAAAGCUGAUGUUAAUGGUGCAAAUGUAGAAGUUUUUGCUGUAGUAGCAGACACUAUUCGGCCUGUUGUUGUUGUCACUGUAUUUUCUGUUGUAGUUAUACUGAUUGUUUCCGGUACAUUACUAACAGUUGCUGAUGUGGUUGUGCCCAAUGCAGUUGCUGGCAAUGCUGAUGUCACCGGUACCAAGGUAGAAGCUUUGGUUGUAGUAGCAGACUCUACUAGGCCUGUUGUCAUUGUCAAUGUAUCUUCUGUUGUAGUUAUUCUGAUUGUUUCCGGUACAUUGCUAACAGUUGCUGAUGUGGUUGUGCCCAAUGCAGUUGCUGGCAAAGCUGAUGUCACUGGUAAAAAUGUAGAAGCUUUGGGUCUAGUAGCAGACUCUACUAGACCUGUUGUUGUUGUCACUGUAUCUUCUGUUGUAGUUAUCCUGAUAGUUUCUGGCUCAUUGCUAACAGUUGCUGGUGUGGUUGUGCCCAAUGCAGUUGCUGGCAAUGCUGAUUUCACCGGUACCAAGGUAGAAGCUUUGGGUGUAGUAGCAGACUCUACUAGGCCUGUUGUUGUUGUCUCUGUAUUUUCUGUUGCAGUUAUCCUGAUUGUUUCCAGUCCAUUGCUAACAGUUGCUGAUGUGGUUGUGCCCAAUGCAGAUGCUGGCAAAGCUGAUGUUACUGGUGCAAAUGUAGAAGUUUUUGCUGUAGUAGCAGACACUAUUUGGCCUGUUGAUGCUGUCACUGUAUUUCCGGUUGUAGCUAUCCUGAUUGUUUCCGAUUCAUUGCUAACAGUUGCUGAUGUGGUUGUGCCCAAUGCAGUUGCUGGCAAUGCUGAUGUUACCUGUGCAAAUGUAGAAUCGUUGGGUGUAGUAGCAGACUCUACUAAGCCUGUUGUUGUUGUUGUCACUGAAUCUUCUGUUGUACUUAUCCUGAUUGUUUCCGAUUCAUUGCUAACAGUUGCUGAUGUGGUUGUGCCCAGUGCAGUUGCUGGCAAUACUGAUGUUACUGGUGCAAAUGUAGAAGUUUUUGCUGUAGUAGCAGACACUAAUAGGCCUGUUGAUGUUGUCGCUGUAUUUUCUGUUGUAGUUGUCCUGAUUGUUUCAAGUCCAUUGCUAACAGUUGCUGAUGUGGUUGUGCCCAAUGCAGUUGCAUGUAAAACAGAUGUCACUGGUACAAAUGUAGAAGCUUUGGGUGUACUAGCAGACUGUACUACACCUGUUGUUGUCACUGUAUCUUCUGUUGGAGUUAUCUUGAUUGUUUCCAGUCCAUUGCUAACAGUUGCUGAUGUGGUUGUGCCCAAUGCAGAUGCUGGCAAAACUGAUGUUACUAGUGAAAAUGUAGAAGUUUUUGCUGUAGUAGCAGACACUAUUCGGCCUGUUGAUAUUGUCACUGUAUUUCCUGUUGUAGCAAUCCUGAUUGUUUCCUGUUCAUUGCUAAGAGUUGCUGAUGUGGUUGUGCCCAGUGCAGCUGCUGGCAAAGCUGAUGUUUCUGGUGCAACUGUAGAAGUCUUUGCUGUAGUACUAGACCCUCUUCGGCCUGUUGUUGUUGUCACUGUAUUUCCUGUUGUAGCUAUCCUGAUUGUUUCCUGUUCAUUGCUAAGAGUUGCUGAUGUGGUUGUGCCCAAUGCAGUUGCAUGUAAAGCAGAUGUCACUGGUACAAAUGUAGAAGCUUUGGGUGUAGUAGCAGACUCUACUAGGCCUGUUGUCGUUGUCACUGUAUCUUCUGUUGUAGUUAUUCUGAUUGUUUCUGGCUCAUUGAUAACAGUUGCUGAUGUGGUUGUGCUCAAUGCAGAUGCUGGCAAAGCUGAUGUUACUGGUGCAAAUGUAGAAGUUUUUGCUGUAGUAGCAGACACUAUUCGGCCUGUUGUUGUUGUCACUGUAUUUCCUGUUGUAGCUAUCCUGAUUGUUUCCGGUUCAUUGCUAACAGUUGCUGAUGUGGUUGUGCCCAAUGCAGUUGCUGGCAAAGCUGAUGUUACUGGUGCAAAUGUAGAAGUUUUUGCUGUAGAAGCAGACACUAUUCGGCCUGUUGAUGUUGUCACUGUAUUUUCUGUUGUAGUUAUGCUGAUUGUUUCCGGUACAUUGCUAACAGUUGCUGAUGUGGUUGUGCCCAAUGCAGUUGCAUGUAAAGCAGAUGUCACAGGUACAAAUGUAGAAGCUUUGGGUGUAGUAGCAGACUCUACUAGGCCUGUUGUUGUUGUCUCUGUAUUUUCUGUUGCAGUUAUCCUGAUUGUUUCCAGUCCAUUGCUAACAGUUGC